rfam:[Clostridium] paradoxum JW-YL-7 = DSM 7308 strain JW-YL-7 ctg1, whole genome shotgun sequence.
AGGGGUGUAGUUCAGUUGGUAGAACGACGGUCUCCAAAACCGUAUGCCGUGGGUUCAAGUCCUGCCACCCCUG